AGCGAACGCUGGCGGCAGGCCUAACACAUGCAAGUCGAACGAACCUUUCGGGGUUAGUGGCGGACGGGUGAGUAACACGUGGGAACGUGCCUUUAGGUUCGGAAUAACUCAGGGAAACUUGUGCUAAUACCGAAUGUGCCCUUCGGGGGAAAGAUUAAUCGCCUUUAGAGCGGCCCGCGUCUGAUUAGCUAGUUGGUUGAGGUAAUGGCUCACCAAGGCGACGAUCAGUAGCUGGUCUGAGAGGAUGAUCAGCCACAUUGGGACUGAGACACGGCCCAAACUCCUACGGGAGGCAGCAGUGGGGAAUCUUGCGCAAUGAGCGAAAGCCUGACGAAGCCAUGCCGCGUGAAUGAUGAAGGUCUUAGGAUUGUAAAAUUCUUUCACCGGGGACGAUAAUGACGGUACCCGGAGAAGAAGCCCCGGCUAACUUCGUG
rnacentral:rRNA from 1 species